UUAUUCGCUCAAUCUCUGUAUGAAGUUUAAAUCGGACAUCCUUCAUUCGAUUAUCUAAAUCGCUCAGAUUUCUUGGAAAAUUGCUCACAGCUUCUUCAUCGUACAGGUUCUUUAUUUUUCUAAGUCUAAACCGCACACCUGUUGAGCGGAUUUUGUCCGAAUUCGUAUAUUGCUUGAGCGGACUUGACCGGAUUAAGACCAUAAYGGUGAGCGAUUURGUUAGUUUGUUGAGCGAUUUACARCUAGUAUUGAUCGAUUUAGACUUGUAGMUUAAUMGAUUUAGGAAUCUGUUUGAUCGAUUUAGUUGACUGCUUGAUCGAUUUAGCUGUAUGUUUGAGYGAUUUAUAGAACAGUUUGUGAGCGAUUUAGUCUUAGGCGUGAGCGAUUUAGAACAGGUUCUGAGCGAUUUUAACUCUAGUUUUGAGCGAUUAAGAAUUUGUCUUGAGCGAUAUCGGCUAGGUCUUGAGCGGAUAUUGAGCGAUUUAGUCUUUGUUUGAGCGAUUAAGACUUAGGUUUGAGUGAUUAUCACUAGUGGUUUGAGCGGUCAUCUAAAUCGCUCAAUUGGGUAGAUAAAGUUMUUACUGUGUUGCUUCCAUCUGGAUUAACCCUCAAUUUGUGCAACUUCCAUAUAAWUGGGAAGAGUAACUGAAAGGCRCAAAAUACGAAUCAUAGACUGUGUGGAUUCCACCUGACAAAGAGUUCGAGCCAUCAAUACUUCUAUUAUAUCAAGAGACCAGUCAUCUUUCUGGUGYUGCUUCAUUGCCUUAGUUACAGCAGCAAAUCCUUUCUCUUUGGCUCUUGCAACGAGAACUCAGAUGAUAUCACAUACCAGAAGUUGYCUUGUGAGCUGAUUCAAGUUUGUAGUSUCYUGUUGGCUCAGCUUUCUGCUGAAUUUCACAUACAGCAUACAGAUGCAAGCUGCAUGAUGAACGGUUAAGAGGCUGUUUCUUGACCGGAUUAAGCAUGCGAUUUACUGAGUAUCUUGUCCAGUUUAGAGUCUGUUUAGUGAUCGAUUCUUGUUCUUGUAGUAUGCUAUUUUCAGCUUAGCAUUGAGCGAUUUAUUGCAUGAGGGGUGUGAUUUAUUGCCUGAGUUAAGCAAUUUACAUCUGUUGAGCGGAUUAAGCUUAGUGCAGUGAGCAAUUUAUAAACAGUCUUGAGCAGCUUAGUCUUGUGCUGACUUG